rnacentral:rRNA from 1 species
GACGAGGGGUCCAAGCGUUGUUCGGAAUUAUUGGGCGUAAAGCGGGUGUAGGUGGAUCUAUAAGUCAGAAGUGAAAGCCCCGAGCUCAACUUGGGAAGUGCUUUUGAUACUGCAGAUCUUGAAUGUGGGAGAGGAUCGUGGAAUUCCAGGUGUAGUGGUGAAAUACGUAGAUAUCAGGAGAACGACCGGUGGCGAAGGCGGGUCUCUGGGCCGAUACUGACGCUGGAGGAGCGAAAGCGUGGGGAGCGAACAGG